CCUACGGGGGGCUGCAGUGAGGAAUAUUGGGCAAUGGGGGCAACCCUGACCCAGCAAUGCCGCGUGCGGGAGGACGUCCUUCGGGGUGUAAACCGCUUUUAUGAGGGAGGAGCAAGGACCGUACCUCAUGAAGAAGUCACGGCUAACUACGUGCCAGCAGCCGCGGUAAUACGUAGGUGGCGAACGUUAUCCGGAGUUACUGGGCGUAAAGGGUCCGCAGGCGGGCCGCUAAGUCUGACGUGAAAUCUCCUGGCUUAACUGGGAGGGGACGUUGG
rnacentral:rRNA from 1 species